UAUUGCCGAAUCUUCCGUUUUUCCUAGAAAAAUUAUUGGUGCAACUGUUUUAUGCAUAACGGAUAGAUUUAACGGUUAUUCGUUGUAUUUUAAAAUUUCUGCUGUGUCCAUGGUUCCUUUGUUUUGGGCUUCAUAGCUAACAGCUGCUAGUCCGCCCAUCUUUCAGGCGAGAAGAUUCAGUAUAGAAGAGGGAAAAUGACGGUAGCAGCAGGGAUCGGAUACGCUCCGCUUGCUUGAUCCUCACCGUUCUCUCCAGUACGCUGUUAUGGCUGUAAGUCUCAUUGUGCUAUCGGGAGUUUGGACUUUGGAGGGCCUUUCUUCCUCUAAAAUUAAUAGCAUUUCCAGGAAGGGCUUCGGGUUCUGUUUUGGAAAGUUUACAAGUAAUUUCACGCUUUAUAUCCUUGUAGUUUUUCUUAGUCUGGUUUUUGUUGGCAUUAAAUGUAACUUGGGCUUAAUGUGCAUUUAAGCACAUUCAUUCCUUGGAGCAUUAGUUUGGCAUUAGCAUAGUGGAAGCACCUUUUUAAUGGAAUGUGAUCCAUGUGCUUGUUAAUUGUAUGUUAUGUUCACAAUUGAGGCUAUAUCCCUGAUGAAAACAUGUGCUUUUAGUGAAAUUUUCAUAUUUACUGCGAGAUUUUGUAUUCCUAUGAUGGAUAAGAUUGGACUUUGAAGUUACUUGGCUCUGCAAGUAAAAUUCAUUAUUUGGAUUUAAUUGAGAGAUCUUGUUGACCAUUCUUUAAUAAAAUAAAGUGAAUAUGGGGCAAGAAAGAAUAUACAGUUGUUCAAGGCUUAUCAUGAACAUUUCACAAAAUUUGCAAGCUUGAAAGAAUCUACACUGGCCAAUUUAGCAUCUGGGGGUUGCAUUGUUGGGAUUCCUCUUCUCUAUCUUGUGACAAUAUUGACGUUAUUGCGUUGUGGUAAAAUGAUACAGAGAAGAACACAGAAAGUCAAAGCACACAGAGUGGGUGAUUCAUAGUGAAUAAAUUUUUGUAGUCUUAUCAUCUUUAUUCCUGGUAGUAGCUGCGGAAAUGUACAAGGAAAAGCACCGAAGAUUAUUAUUUUGCAGAUUGAAGAAGUAUUUUGUCCAUGUAGUACCCCACAGGAUCCAAGUAUGUACAUUAUUUUAUAGUUUUAUCAUCACAAAUUGCAGAAGCUCCAAAGACUCAUUCAAAGAUGCUUUUUUGUAAUAGGUCUGAAAUAUUAAAUUAAGUUGCCUAUUUAAUAUGGCAUGGCUCAUAAUUCAAGCUGACACAAGACCAACAGAGUCAGUGGGUACUAAUUAAUUGGAGCUAGACCAAUUAAAUAAUUGCAUAUACAAAUGGA